AUUGAACGCUGGCGGCAUGCCUUACACAUGCAAGUCGAACGGCAGCACGGGAGCAAUCCUGGUGGCGAGUGGCGAACGGGUGAGUAAAGUAUCGGAACGUGCCCAGUCGUGGGGGAUAACGUAGCGAAAGUUACGCUAAUACCGCAUACGCUCUAUGGAUGAAAGCGGGGGAUCGCAAGACCUCGCGCGAUUGGAGCGGCCGAUAUCAGAUUAGGUAGUUGGUGGGGUAAAGGAUCACCAAGCCGACGAUCUGUAGCUGGUCUGAGAGGACGACCAGCCACACUGGGACUGAGACACGGCCCAGACUCCUACGGGAGGCAGCAGUGAGGAAUUUGUGACAAUGAGCGAAAGCCUGAUCCAGCCAUGCCGCGUGCAGGAUGAAGGCCUUCGGGUUGUAAACUGCUUUUGUACGGAACGAAAAGGUUUGGCCUAAUAAGCUGAGCUCAUGACGGUACCGUAAGAAUAAGCACCGGCUAACUACGUGCCAGCCGCCGCCGUAA
rnacentral:rRNA from 1 species